CCUACGGGUGGCAGCAGUGGGGAAUAUUGCACAAUGGGCGAAAGCCUGAUGCAGCAACGCCGCGUGAGCGAUGAAGGCCUUCGGGGCGUAAAGCUCUGUCCUCAAGGAAGAGAAUGACGGUACGUGAGGAGGAAGCCACGGCUAACUACGUGCCAGCAGCCGCGGUAAUACGUAGGGGGCGAGCGUUAUCCGGAAUUACUGGGCGUAAAGGGGGCGUAGGGGGGUUCUGAAGUCCGCGGUGAAAGGCUACGGCUCAACCGUAGUCAGCCUUUGAAACUGUGGAACUUGAGUGCAGGAGAGGAGAGUGGACUUCCUAGUGUAGCGGUGACAUGCGUCGAUCUUAGGAGGCACCCCAGUUGCGAAGUCGGCUCUCUGGACUGUAACUGACACUGAGGCAC
rnacentral:rRNA from 1 species